GGCGGACGGGUGAGUAACGCGUGAGCAAGCUACCCUGGAGAGGGGGAUAACACUCUGAAAAGGGUGCUAAUACUCCAUAAGAUUACGGGUAUGCAUGUAUUUGUAAUCAAAGGGAUGCUGAUUCAAUGAAAGCAUUUGCUUCGGGAUGCGCUCGCGUACCAUUAGCUAGUUGGUGUGGUAAAGGCGCACCAAGGCGAAGAUGGUUAGCCGGCCUGAGAGGGUGUACGGCCACACUGGGACUGAGAUACGGCCCAGACUCCUACGGGAGGCAGCAGUGGGGAAUUUUGCGCAAUGGGGGAAACCCUGACGCAGCAAUACCGCGUGGACGAUGAAGGCCUUUGGGUUGUAAAGUCCUGUUGGGUGGGAAGAAGUGCUCCUGGGCGAACAGGUCAGGGGUUUGACGGUACCACCAGAGGAAGCUCCGGCUAACUCCGUGCCAGCAGCCGCGGUAAUACGGAGGGAGCGAGCGUUGUUCGGAAUUACUGGGCGUAAAGGGCGCGUAGGCGGCUUGGUAAGUUGGGUGCGAAAGACCAUGGCUCA
rnacentral:rRNA from 1 species